GAUGAAAAUGAUUAUUUUCAUAAUGAAAUGUGAAAAAAAUGGUGAAAAUGUCAAAAAAUAAAUGGUAGAAACAUUUUGCACAAUCAUAUUAAAAGCUGGAAAGCUUUUGUGUUAAUUACCUUUCUAUAUCACUCUAUUCUAAAAAAAUAACUUUUAAUUUUUGAAUGUUCUACAAAACGAGUUCUUGUCAAUUUGUAAUAAUUUUUUAAUUAAUUAAGCUGUCUCGUCCACAAUUAGCAAUAAAGAGAGGAAAUUACAGCCUGGCCGGUAUUUAAAGAUCCAAUUUCAUAAACCAAGGAUUAAGUUUCAUAAUACAAAAAUCAGGUUUUAAUUAAUAUUUUAUUAUGCUUUAAAUAAAUAUUUAUUCAUCUUGAAUGCUUCCGCUUUUAACUUGAAAAUUACAGAGAGAAAGUUUUCAAAAUAGUAAACAAUCUCUUAGAAAUUGUAAAAUCUUCGAACAUACCCCCUAUCAAUCAAUAAAACCAAAUUGAUUUUUACCCAAAUUUCACAAAAAUAUCCUACUUCAUUUCAAUCGACAGUCAAACCUACUACCUCAUUCUCUCAUGGUACCUAAGCAAAAUCUCUAAAGUCGCGCAGUUCUGUUUGCUUUCCAAGAAGAUCGAACAUGGAGGGAAGGGUUGGUAUCGGUAAUCUUGUAAAAUGGCCAUUACGAAGAGUUGUGACCGGAAAUCUCGAUCCAUUUUCGGCGACACAUCUAGAAGUGAACUAGGAAAGAGAAGAAGCCCGAAAGUAAAAAAGAGAGUUCGUGAAGAAAUCCCCAAAACGCCGACUGACUCGUGAAAAUCAAAAUCGAAAACUGAAUGGAAGUAUAUUAUCCUGAGAGAUUGUUGAUUUUCGGGUAAAAUUACAAUCAAUACGAAAAAGACUGUUUUGUCAAAUUUCACAUCGAAAUUCACUGAUGAACAACUGGCUAUCCUAGCAGACACAUGCUUUUCAUACUACAUGGAAUGCCACGAAAUCAUAUUGCAGCCCCAAUUGAUGCUAGAUGAGCUAGGCUGGACAUUGCUACAUUACUCUUUAAACAUAAAGAGAUCAAGAGGUCGACAACACGGGUGAAGCCAAGGGGAGAGAGAUUGAAAUUGAAUGAUUAUAGAAUUUUAGUUUAGUGGCUAGUAGAUUUGCGAUUUUUUUGAUAUUUUGAAAUGUUGGGAACAGAUAAAUGGAAAUUUCGAAUGUUUACGUUAAUGCAAUAGUGGAAUUGCAUUUGAUCA